rnacentral:misc_RNA from 1 species
ACUUCAUACUUUUGUUUUGUUCUGUGUACAGUGCAUGGGUUUGUGAUUUCAAUAAUGAGAGACUUUGCAUUUCUCUGAUGCUGCGAGUGUUUACGAGACAAGUGUGUCUCAAAUCAUCCUACGUUUGGAAAGGAUAGCAUGGGUGACUUUCCUUAUUCCAAAAAACGAGAUGUUUAUGAUCGUUUGAAACGUCGUUUUGAAGUAUACAGACACCAUCAUCGAAAUCGCAGCGACUACUACGACAAUACCAUUAAUAAUAUUCACGAGCAACAGUCGCUCGAAACCCUGAACCACCGCCAAAGGUGGCUGGACUCUAAAGCCAAGAAAGCAUCUAAGCAAUCCAAGGCCAGUCGCGAGUCCGCCGGGAACCAGGGGAAUCUCAUUCCUCGCUUAAAGAAGAUCGGAAAUCAAGGUGAUCGUACAGUGCCGGACAUCGACGAAGGGCCAGCAGCUAAACAGGGAAACACAGGAACGACCAGUGAAAUCAACUUCUCUGUGCGGAUAGAACAGCAGGACAAUAACGUCAAACUUGACGUUCACGCUACCGUCGGCUCAAAGGCAGAACCAAGUGUUGAAACCACCACUAGUGUCAAAUGUGAACAGAAAACAAGCCCUGAGGACUGCAGCAAUGAAAACGCAAACCUCAGUCCAUCUGAUAACAUAAGUAUCAACGAAGAAGACAUUGACUAUUUUCUAUCUAUGGUGGGAAAUAAUCCCGACGAGAAUCUAUUGGAGGAGAUUAAUAAAUUUGAGAAAAUUUGUCAAAGUAAAUUCUCGGAUGACAGUAAUAAUAGUAAUGACUCAAAAAUGUAUCCACUAAUGAAGUCUCCUGGACUGGCUGGGAACAAGUUAGAAUCCCACUCACCAAUCUUCAAUGGCAACCAGAAGUUUCCGGUCAAUUCACCUCAUUUACAGAACUUUAGGUCGCCCUCAGUGAGCAUGCCCGAGAGCACGCUGCCGGCCGCAGAGACUUUAAAACAAUUGGCGGCCAAUCAUCAGAACCAGACGCAGAGCUCAGGGAGCUUCCAGUCCUACCCUGGUCACCAUAUGUCUCCCGACGCCAACCAGUACCCACCCAAUUCAGGAUACCCACCCAAUUAUGACCCACCAAACCCAUCUCACUAUAACCCCAACCAAGGACCAUAUAUGAAUAACAAUAUGCAUGGACAUGUACCUUUUAACCAAUCAAAAUCUGAGCCUGGGUUAACGUACAAUGGAACCAAACCUCUCACUCAUUAUCAACCAAAUGACCCCGUGUCUGUGCAACAAACACAACAACCUCCAUCGUCACUGCAGCAGCUUCAAAACCAAGUUCAAUCUCAUUUCAGCCAGUCCUCGCAGAUGGAAAUCACACAGAGCCAACAUGUUCAGGUGUCAGAUGGGGCAAGCCGAAUGCAAAUGUCUCAGACCCAACAGGUCCACAUGAGGCAACCACCGCAACAGAUGUCCAUAUCCCAGCAACAGUCGUUCAAUGUGCCCGGUACCAACAUGGCUCCAAGCAAUCAAGGCAAUCAGUAUAUGAAUGAACAAAUGAAAAUGCAAAUGAUGCAAGAAAAAAUGCGUCGAGAACGCCAAGCACAUGCUCGCUCCCUGCUGGAAAGCCAACGGCAGCAACAGCAGCAGCAGUACAUGAACCGACCGCCUCCAGAAUACAAAAUGCAGCAAUCCGCACCCGAAGGGUACCCAGGGUCUGACAUGGGCCCCAAUCCACUUCAGACCAUGCAAAAUAUGGUAAACCAAACUAAUACUAUGCCACCAACCCAAUACAGCCAUAUCAAAUCUGAAAGUGCUAGUGUACAGAUGCCAAACGCUAUGAUGCAGUCACAUCAGGUGACGGCGAUGCAGCAGAGGGUAGGGGGUGGGCACAUGCCUGACAUGCAACAGGCCAAUCACCCAUACCCCAUUCAACGCCAACAGUCGUAUCCCGGGGCCCAGCCCCACCAACCCCGACCCCAGAGGCAUCCGCCAGAGUCCUCCUUUACGAGUUCCAUCAUGCGAAACCAACGACCACCAAAUGUAAAUGUGGGACCAGACGGUUUAAAUAUAUCUCAGCCUCGCGGUGAUUGGCCAAGGCCAAUGAUGAAUCAACAAAUGCCACGGCAGCAAAUGCCUCCUGGCAUGACGCAAAUGGCCCAAGUUGGCAUGAUGCAAUAUCAGUAUGCAAAUCAAAACGGCAUGGGAGGGUCAAGCAUGCCUGGUAUGCAGGGACCACCAUCCAGACCAAUGCAGAUGGCGUCAAUGCAGUCCCAACCCAUGAUGCCACAGUCCCACCAAAUGAUGAUGCGCCAAAGCAUGCAGAUGUCGCAAAGAAUGGCAAUGCGCGGCCGAUGGACUCGGCCAAUCAAAUGCCAAAUGGUUCAAAUCAUGAGGACAUUAUGAAUUUAUUGGACAGUGCUGGACCAAAUAAUAAUUCGGAACUCUUGGACACGAUGACGGUGCAGAGCUCUGACCCCAAUAAUGACGCCGCGUGGCUCGAUGAGAUUCUUGGCGGGAAGUGAUC